AUGCAUCAGAGCAUGGAGAUUCAAGUAAGAUUUUAUAGAACAUUUUGAGCAAAAGCCACUUGUUUUGAAAUCUUCUCAGCUUUGUAUCUCUCCUCUCUUCCUCUCUUCUCCUGGUUUCAAAUGCAUUAUGGGUUUCGUAAGUGUGUAUCUUUGUUGCUAUCAUAGGAUGUAAUUCCGUAGUCGAAAACUUUUCCGUAGACCAA
rnacentral:misc_RNA from 1 species